AUUGAACGCUGGCGGCAGGCCUAACACAUGCAAGUCGAACGAGUGGCGGACGGGUGAGUAAUGUCUGGGAAACUGCCUGAUGGAGGGGGAUAACUACUGGAAACGGUAGCUAAUACCGCAUACCAUCGGAUGUGCCCAGAUGGGAGUAGCUAGUAGGUGGGGUAAAGGCUAACCUAGGCGAAGAUCCCUAGCUGUUCUGCGAGGAUGACAAGCCAGACUGGAUCUCGGACACGGUCCAAACUCAUACGGUAGACAGCAGUGGGGAGUAUUGAACAAUGGGCGCAAGCCUGAUACAGCCAUGCGGCGUGUAUAUAGGAGGCAUUCGGGUGGUAUAGUACUUUCAGCGGGCAGGGGUUACCCGCAGAAGAGGCACCGGGUAACUCCGUGCAGGCCGCCGCGGUAAUUC
rnacentral:rRNA from 1 species